CCUACGGGAGGCAGCAGUGAGGAAUAUUGGUCAAUGGGCGCGAGCCUGAACCAGCCAAGUCGCGUGAGGGAUGACGGUCCUACGGAUUGUAAACCUCUUUUGCCGGGGAGCAAGCGUGCGUUCGUGAACGCGCGUCGAGAGUACCCGGAGAAAAAGCAUCGGCUAACUCCGUGCCAGCAGCCGCGGUAAUACGGAGGAUGCGAGCGUUAUCCGGAUUUAUUGGGUUUAAAGGGUGCGUAGGCGGGAUGCCAAGUCAGCGGUAAAAAUUCGGGGCUCAACCCCGUCCGGCCGUUGAAACUGGGGGCCUUGAGUGGGCGAGAAGAAGGCGGAAUGCGUGGUGUAGCGGUGAAAUGCAUAGAUAUCACGCAGAACCCCGAUUGCGAAGGCAGCCUUCCGGCGCCCUACUGACGCUGAGGCACGAAAGUGCGGGGAUCGAACAGGAUUAGAUACCCGGGUAGUC
rnacentral:rRNA from 1 species